CAGUGGAAAUCUUCAAAGAGUCUAGUAUAGAUUUUGUUGUGUGGAUACUAGUGUUCAUGCUUAUAAAGAUUUAUAAUGAAAAGGAGUAAGCUGAGCAAGGAAAAAUACAAAAUGUAAGACUUGAGCAGAAAUGGAACAUUAGGAAGGGGAA